rnacentral:rRNA from 1 species
AUUGAACGCUGGCGGCAUGCCUUACACAUGCAAGUCGAACGGUAACGGGCCUUCGGGUGCCGACGAGUGGCGAACGGUUGAGUAAUACAUCGGAACGUGCCCGAUCGUGGGGUAUAACGAGGCGAAAGCUUUGCUAAUACCGCCUACGAUCUCCGGAUGACAGCAGGGGACCGCAAGGCCUUGCGCGGACUGAGCGGCCGAUGGCAGAUUAGGUAGUUGGUGGGAUAAAAGCUUACCAAGCCGACGAUCUGUAGCUGGUCUGAGAGGAUGAUCAGCCACACUGGGACUGAGACACGGCCCAGACUCCUACGGGAGGCAGCAGUGGGGAAUUUUGGACAAUGGGCGCAAGCCUGAUCCAGCCAUGCCGCGUGCAGGAUGAAGGCCUUCGGGUUGUAAACUGCUUUUGUACGGAACGAAAAGCCUUCUUUUAAUACAGGAGGGUCAUGACGGUACCGUAAGAAUAAGCACCGGCUAACUACGUG